UUGGAGGGCAAGUCUGGUGCCAGCAGCCGCGGUAAUUCCAGCUCCAAUAGCGUAUAUUAAAGUUGUUGCAGUUAAAAAGCUCGUAGUUGAAACUUGGGCCUGGCUGGCAGGUCCGCCUCACCGCGUGUACUUGUCCGGCCGGGCCUUUCCUUCUGGAGAACCUCAUGCCCUUCACUGGGCGUGUUGGGGAACCAGGACUUUUACUUUGAAAAAAUUAGAGUGUUCAAAGCAGGCCUUUGCUCGAAUACGUUAGCAUGGAAUAAUCGAAUAGGACGUGCGGUCCUAUUUUGUUUGUUUUUA
rnacentral:rRNA from 1 species